UUCAUGUGUAUGCUUGAUGUACGGACCUGUACCUUGUAACACAGAUGUCAAUUUCAGUGAUACCAUCACCCUUAACAUAUCAACAAGUCGGGUAGAAUACUGACAGACCAAGGAGGCAGAUCAUAUGUAGAUCCGCCAAACGAGACUCUUGCAGCAGAACUAGUGUUGUAGUUUGAGAGAAAAGCAGCGCAAGAUGACUGAGACUUGAACACUUGAGCCUGAAAAACAAAACACACAACAAAAAGGAUCAGCAGAGACCAAUGCCGGUUCGCAGAGCUUGAUGACCUUGUGCAGCCUUUUCAAGUGACUAUACUUAGGUGAUGAGAGUUAAAUUACCAUAUUCAUCAAGAGGAGCAUCAUAGUCAUAGCUGGUGGCGAUGAAUUCGCCAGCUGUUCUGUCGAAGUUGGUUCCUCCAUGUUGAUGAAGGAGCCACCGUUCUGUAUGAAGCGAGCCACGGAUAAGGCAAUGUCUUCGGCUGGUCUGUAUGGUACCGCACCUCCAAACUCUGUGAACCUG